rnacentral:rRNA from 1 species
GUCGAGCGGAACGAUCCUAGCUUGCUAGGAGGCGUCGAGCGGCGGACGGGUGAGUAAUGCAUAGGAAUCUGCCCGGUAGUGGGGGAUAACCUGGGGAAACCCAGGCUAAUACCGCAUACGCCCUACGGGGGAAAGCAGGGGAUCUUCGGACCUUGCGCUAUCGGAUGAGCCUAUGUCGGAUUAGCUAGUUGGUGAGGUAACGGCUCACCAAGGCUGCGAUCCGUAGCUGGUCUGAGAGGAUGAUCAGCCACAUCGGGACUGAGACACGGCCCGAACUCCUACGGGAGGCAGCAGUGGGGAAUAUUGGACAAUGGGCGAAAGCCUGAUCCAGCCAUGCCGCGUGUGUGAAGAAGGCCUUCGGGUUGUAAAGCACUUUCAGUGAGGAAGAAAGCCUUGAGGUUAAUACCCUCGAGGGAGGACAUCACUCACAGAAGAAGCACCGGCUAACUCCGUGCCAGCAGCCGCGGUAAUACGGAGGGUGCGAGCGUUAAUCGGAAUUACUGGGCGUAAAGCGCGCGUAGGCGGCUUGAUAAGCCGGUUGUGAAAGCCCCGGGCUCAACCUGGGAACGGCAUCCGGAACUGUCAGGCUAGAGUGCAGGAGAGGAAGGUAGAAUUCCCGGUGUAGCGGUGAAAUGCGUAGAGAUCGGGAGGAAUACCAGUGGCGAAGGCGGCCUUCUGGACUGACACUGACGCUGAGGUGCGAAAGCGUGGGUAGCAAACAGGAUUAGAUACCCUGGUAGUCCACGCCGUAAACGAUGUCGACUAGCCGUUGGGCUCCUUGAGAGCUUUGUGGCGCAGUUAACGCGAUAAGUCGACCGCCUGGGGAGUACGGCCGCAAGGUUAAAACUCAAAUGAAUUGACGGGGGCCCGCACAAGCGGUGGAGCAUGUGGUUUAAUUCGAUGCAACGCGAAGAACCUUACCUACCCUUGACAUCGAGAGAACUUUCCUGAGAUGGAUUGGUGCCUUCGGGAACUCUC